rnacentral:rRNA from 1 species
UACGAAGGGAGCUAGCGUUGUUCGGAAUCACUGGGCGUAAAGCGCACGUAGGCGGAUGUGUCAGUCAGGGGUGAAAUCCCGGAGCUCAACUUCGGAACUGCCUUUGAUACAGCACAUCUGGAGUCCGGAAGAGGUGGGUGGAAUUCCUAGUGUAGAGGUGAAAUUCGUAGAUAUUCGCAAGAACACCAGUGGCGAAGGCGGCUCACUGGCCCGGUACUGACGCUCAGGGGCGAAAGCGUGGGGAGCGAACCGG